UACGUAGGGGGCAAGCGUUGUCCGGAUUUAUUGGCGUAAAGAGCGUGUAGGCGGCCAGGUAGGUCAGCUGUGAAAACUCGAGGCUCAACCUCGAGACGCCGGUUGAAACCAUCUGGCUAGAGUCCGGAAGAGGAGAGUGGAAUUCCUGGUGUAGCGGUGAAAUGCGCAGAUAUCAGGAAGAACACCCGUGGCUAAGGCGGCUCUCUAGUACGGUACUGACGCUGAGACCGCGAAAGCGUGGGAGCGAACAGG
rnacentral:rRNA from 1 species